rnacentral:rRNA from 1 species
UACGUAGGGGGCAAGCGUUGUCCGGAAUCAUUGGGCGUAAAGAGCGUGUAGGCGGCUCGAUAAGUCCGCUGUGAAAGUCCAGGGCUCAACCCUGGAAGGCCGGUGGAAACUGUCGGGCUAGAGUCCGGAAGAGGCGAGUGGAAUUCCCGGUGUAGCGGUGAAAUGCGCAGAUAUCGGGAGGAACACCAAGGCGAAGGCAGCUCGCUGGGACGGUACUGACGCUGAGACGCGAAAGCGUGGGGAGCAAACAGGG